GAUGAACGCUAGCUACAGGCUUAACACAUGCAGGUCGAGGGGCAUCAGGAAGAAAGCUUGCUUUCUUUGCUGGCGACCGGCGCACGGGUGAGUAACACGUAUCCAACCUGCCCUUUACUCGGGGAUAGCCUUUCGAAAGAAAGAUUAAUACCCGAUAGCAUAAUGAUUCCGCAUGGUUUCAUUAUUAAAGGAUUCCGGUAAAGGAUGGGGAUGCGUUCCAUUAGGUUGUUGGUGAGGUAACGGCUCACCAAGCCUUCGAUGGAUAGGGGUUCUGAGAGGAAGGUCCCCCACAUUGGAACUGAGACACGGUCCAAACUCCUACGGGAGGCAGCAGUGAGGAAUAUUGGUCAAUGGGCGUUAGCCUGAACCAGCCAAGUAGCGUGAAGGAUGAAGGCUCUGUGGGUCGUAAACUUCUUUUAUAUAAGAAUAAAGUGCAGUAUGUAUACUGUUUUGUAUGUAUUAUAUGAAUAAGGAUCGGCUAACUCCGUGCCAGCCGCCGCAGUAA
rnacentral:rRNA from 1 species